CUCGUAGGCGGUUCGUCGCGUCCGGUGUGAAAGUCCAUCGCUUAACGGUGGAUCCGCGCCGGGUACGGGCGGGCUUGAGUGCGGUAGGGGAGACUGGAAUUCCCGGUGUAACGGUGGAAUGUGUAGAUAUCGGGAAGAACACCAAUGGCGAAGGCAGGUCUCUGGGCCGUCACUGACGCUGAGGAACGAAAGCGUGGGUAGCGAACA
rnacentral:rRNA from 1 species